rnacentral:lncRNA from 1 species
GCCGGGAAAUUAUAGAAAAAUAAAGAUGCCCAUUAAAUCAACCAAGGAGAGGAAAAUGACAUAUAUAAACAAAAUCAAACAAGACCCUAUAAGAUACCAGAAGUAUCUUAAGAAACAAAAAGAAAGAUACCUCAAGAGAAAAGAAAGUGGUGAACUGAAAUUCAUCUCACAUCUUUCCCAGUGAGAAAAAAGGGGGAAAAUGAGGCCAUGGAAACCAAAGAAACAGAUCAACUAUCCAGAAAAUAGUGGUUAUGGAGUCAUACCUGUCAAGGAACACGCCACCACACUCACCUGAAGUCUUACAGCUACAGAAUGAUGACCUACCUGCCCCUCAAAUGGCACAGGAUUUCCCAUCCCUGUUCAAACUCAUAAACGCCAAGACAGAGUGGCCAUAGAAAGGUGAAAAAAAAACAGAUCCAAAGUCUACAGGGAUCUAUGUAUGGCCAAUAUGAAGUUGGAGGCCACAAAAAGAAAACGGAGAAAGUACAAAAAAAAAAAGACAUGAUAGAUUGUCAGAGAAGAAAAAAAACAAAUGCGGUCAAAGCCACAGAAUCAGAGAAAAAUACUUUUGUUACAUAAUACCAUCCUCUCAGAAUAGAAUUUGGAUUCUCUGCAAAGACAAUGCAGGCAAACAACAAACGGCCAACCUGUCUGAAGUACUCAAGAAAGAGACAUUUGAAUGCAAUCAGCCCAGCAAUAGAAGAUUAAAUAAAACGGUUAUUUGAACGUGAUGAUAACAGUCAAGCAUCAAAAGGAAAAAGGGAAACAUUGACAAGACACAAUAAUAAAAUGCAGAAGCGAUACCUGAACGACACACUGGCAAAACUCCAUCAGAAGUUGAAGAUAGAAUUACCAGAGGUCAAGCUGUCAUAUACAGAGUUCACCAAAAGACGUCCCUUUUGGAUUGUCAAUCAAUCAGUGAAAGACAGGGAGACAUGCCAGUGUAAGACACAUGCCAACCUUCAGUUCAUGGCAGACAAGUUGUUAUGUCACAAAGAGCUCCAGACUUCCUCUUUUGAUGGUGGGCAACAAACAUGGUGGUUUGAUUGGAAAGGCAAGGCAGAAGAGAAGAGAGAGAAGAAAACAAAAGAUGGAACAAAAGAGAAGUUUUCUGUCCAUUUGACUGUAAAGGAGAAGGUGUACGGUACCCUUCAAACUCUACUGGAAGACUUCACAUCCAAUGUGAAGAACAUACUUGGGAAACAUGUCUUCAAUAUCAGACAUCAGUACUCCACAUUAAGAAGUCUCAGAAAACAUCUUAUAGAAGAUAAGUUAAUCCUUCAUGUGGAUUUCACAGAGAACUACCUGUGCAUGUAUGCCUCUGAAAUACAGGCGGUGCAUUUUGGUGACUCACCAGCAGACAACACUUCACACUGGGGUUGUAUACACUAAAGAAGGUGUUGUGUCAGUGUGAUCAGUCAGCUCAUCAAUGCAUCAUGACCACUCGGUAUGACGCAUCAAAAGUCCUCUCCCACCUCCACGAGUUAAAUCCAUCUGCCACUAUACUCCAUAUUGUAUGUGAUGGACCAACCACACAGUACAGAUCCAAUAAGAAUUUCUUCAACCUGAGCACAAUUCUAUUUUAACUGGGGUUUCAGAAGAUCACCUGGAAUUCUUGGUGGCUGGACAUGGGAAAGGUCCUGGGGAUGUAUCGGUGCAGCUGGGAAGAGAAAUGCUGAUUCCAUAUUGGUAAAAGAAAAGGACCUUCCGAACAGACAAGUGUUCUACGAGGAACUUUCAAAAGAGCAGUUAAAUGUGAAUCUCUUUUACGUCACAGAGCAAGAGAUAGAGAAAAUGGAUCCCCUGCUACCAGACUGUCUCGAGAGGAUCCGUGGAACAAUGAAAAUACACCAGAUCGUUACUGCCAUUCCAGAACAAAUCACAUGGAGAGUUUCUCCUCAACUCCACAUCUAUGUGAUUGUUAUGGCCCACAGACCAUGAUAAUUCAACAAACAGAGGCAGAAAGCAAAACCUUCCACUUGCACAGCACCACAGGAAUCUCCUAGCUCAAUACAGCCCAUUGCCGACAUACAUGAGGGACUGAUUGGAAAGUGGUGUGUUGUGAAAUAUGAUGAAGACCCUUAUCCUGGUAUUAUACAAGAUGUUGAUGCCGAGAGCUGUGCUCUAGUCAAACGAUGAGUCGUGUGGGAGCCAACCGAUUAUUUUGGCCAAUGAGAGGAGACAUUGUGUGGUACCAACCAGAGAAUGUGCUUGGGCUUGUCUCUGAGCCUAAUCCAUUGACAAAACGGCAUAUGAUGCUUGAUGGCGCAGUCUUAGAGGAAAUUUGCUCUCUUGUAAAGCAAUAGAGAGCAUUAAGGGCUAAUCUUGAGUGAGCACAUACCUGUCUCAUGAGUGUGAAUCAAUAGACUGCAACCAGUGAACAAUCAUUUGUUUCAUUUCAACCAGUGUUUCCAACCUUGAACAUGUAUUUCUGCCUAAUGCUUUGAAUCCCAAAAUUGUUCUAAAAGCUGCUUUAAGUUCUUGAGGCAUGCAGACUUUGUGUUUUGAGGUUUUGAAUGGUGUGUUUUAUGUCUUCAAUAAAAUGAAACAUGUACAACUGUG